rnacentral:rRNA from 1 species
AGCAGUGAGGAAGGUGGGUAUGUUAAUAGCAUACUCAUUUGACGUUAGCUGCAGAAGAAGCACCGGCUAACUCCGUGCCAGCAGCCGCGGUAAUACGGAGGGUGCGAGCGUUAAUCGGAAUUACUGGGCGUAAAGCGCAUGCAGGUGGUUUGUUAAGUCAGAUGUGAAAGCCCGGGGCUCAACCUCGGAAUUGCAUUUGAAACUGGCAAACUAGAGUACUGUAGAGGGGGUAGAAUUUCAGGUGUAGCGGUGAAAUGCGUAGAGAUCUGAAGGAAUACCGGUGGCGAAGGCGGCCCCCUGGACAGAUACUGACACUCAGAUGCGAAAGCGUGGGGAGCAAACAGGAUUAGAUACCCUGGUAG